GAUGAACGCUGGCGGCGUGCCUAAUACAUGCAAGUCGAGCGAACGGACGAGAAGCUUGCUUCUCUGAUGUUAGCGGCGGACGGGUAAGUAACACGUGGAUAACCUACCUAUAAGACUGGGAUAACUUCGGGAAACCGGAGCUAAUACCGGAUAAUAUUUUGAACCGCAUGGUUCAAAAGUGAAAGACGGUCUUGCUGUCACUUAUAGAUGGAUCCGCGCUGCAUUAGCUAGUUGGUAAGGUAACGGCUUACCAAGGCAACGAUGCAUAGCCGACCUGAGAGGGUGAUCGACCACACUGGAACUGAGACACGGUCCAGACUCCUACGGGAGGCAGCAGUAGGGAAUCUUCCGCAAUGGGCGAAAGCCUGACGGAGCAACGCCGCGUGAGUGAUGAAGGUCUUCGGAUCGUAAAACUCUGUUAUUAGGGAAGAACAUAUGUGUAAGUAACUGUGCACAUCUUGACGGUACCUAAUCAGAAAGCCACGGCUAACUACG
rnacentral:rRNA from 1 species